AGCGAACGCUGGCGGCAGGCCUAACACAUGCAAGUCGAACGAAGUCUUCGGACUUAGUGGCGGACGGGUGAGUAACACGUGGGAACGUGCCUUUAGGUUCGGAAUAACUCAGGGAAACUUGUGCUAAUACCGAAUGUGCCCUUCGGGGGAAAGAUUUAUCGCCUUUAGAGCGGCCCGCGUCUGAUUAGCUAGUUGGUGAGGUAAAGGCUCACCAAGGCGACGAUCAGUAGCUGGUCUGAGAGGAUGAUCAGCCACAUUGGGACUGAGACACGGCCCAAACUCCUACGGGAGGCAGCAGUGGGGAAUCUUGCGCAAUGGGCGAAAGCCUGACGCAGCCAUGCCGCGUGGAUGAUGAAGGUCUUAGGAUUGUAAAAUCCUUUCACCGGUGAAGAUAAUGACUGUAGCCGGAGAAGAAGCCCCGGCUAACUUCGUGCCAGCCGCCGCAGUAACAC
rnacentral:rRNA from 1 species